GUUGGUAUUGACCCCAACAACCAUGUUACAUAUUUGUUGCUGAACAGAACUUUUUCCUGAAUGUGGAGGAAAAUACACUAAAAAAAUUAACUAAGAAAAAAAAAGAAAUAAUUUAUAAAUUACAUCAUAUAUGAGCAUACACAAAUGGCUGUUAAUUGUGUCAUAAAUUGCAUAUUAAACAUUAAUAGUUAUAAAAAUAUUUCGAAAGUGAAAUUUAAAGGCAGGUGAUCUAUGCUGUUUUGCUACAUUUCCUUUUUUAAUUAUCAUAUGAUUAUCUAUAAGCUAAUUAUAAUAAUUGUUUUUCUUUUUUUUCAGAUGUUGUUGGAAAUUAAAUUAAUUCUUGCAGUAGGCCACAUCCAACCAUUUGUUGACAAUCUAGAGAUAUAAUAUUGUUUGAAGCAGUAGCUACACUUAAACCUGGAGGAAAAGAGUGCAAAGAUGAUUUGGACGUUAUAAGAGCCAUAGAAAGUAAUACAGGAUUCAAACAUGGAAAGGGGUGCAAGACUAGAUAAAUUGUAGUUCUACAUAAGGAUAUUGAAGAAGCUAAUCUGUCAAAGGUCCUGUCAUCACAGCCUAAUACUCCUCCAAGUGAAGCCUUGUUUUUUAUUUUUAACAACAUAGAACUGGACAAACAGUAUAUUGUUGGAGACCAGUGCAAGAUACCACUUGAGACAGAUAGCCUCAUGGAAGGGCUAUUCUUAUUAAUAAGCUGGUAUUAUAUAAUGGAUCUAGAAAUCCCACUGCUUUUCACAACUCCUUGGAUUCAUGCAAAAAACAGUAUUUAAACAAACCUUUCUUAGUCACAAGUCGGCUGGGUAUUUACACUUUGUGGAAAAAUUGGAAAAACUAAUGAACAAAUAGAACAACAUUUUAAAUUAGAUUCAACCUUCUGUGUCAUGGACAUAUUAUUGACUUCUUAACAGCUUACCUUUUACCAUGAAAAAACCUGCUUUUUUGGCACUUGCAAAAACAAAGGUGCAGAAUAGCUGUGUGGUAACCAUCAGCUGAUCAGUGCCUUUAUUUUUGCUGCAUAGAUGGUGCAAUCCCUCCCCUUCCUUAAUCAGACAUUUAAAUCAUCUUGAUGUCUGAACAUGAAGCUGUAUAUUUUGGCUCUAUUUGAAAUAGCAAAUGUCAGGUGUCAAUAUUUUUCAAAACAGCUAAGACUUUGCUUCUUUUUAGGAACUUUUAAAUCCAGUUAUUUAUCAAUAUAUUAUUCACUAGCAGAAAAGAUUGACUUAAUAAUUGCAGUGUUUAAACACUAAUUUUAUUAUUUAUGACAUCAGUAUGUUAUUGCAGACUGUGACAUUUUUAUGUCAAUGAAGCAUUAAAAUGCCAUAUAUUAUAAAUUGUUUAUUACAGUUAAGAAGUAUUAGUGCUAUUUGUUGUUUGCAAAUGUUAAUAUGCUCUUAUUUUGUACAUGCUAUGUAGUAAGUUUAAUAUAUUGCAUUGAUGUCUUAGAUAAGUUUGUAUUUGGUUGAUGUAUUACUGUCUAACUUUAACACAUGCUCACUUCAUUAUCAUAUCAGAUUUAUUAAAUUUUUAUUUACUGAUUUCAAGUGGUAAGCAGAAUUAUUUACAGAGAUCACUAGUUUUCACUGAUCAGGCACCUUUGUUGUGCAAUUAAAUUUUUUGGUGUUUUCGGAGUCAAAGAAAUGAUUUAUCAAAAUAUUGUAUAAAGUUGCAUUGUAACUUUUUAGAGUGCUAAAGUGUACCAUUUUUUUUUCUAAGCCUUAAGCGCACCACAACCAAAAGAUAUUUAUGAACCAUCAGGAUAUAUACUGUUACUGAUAAAAAAUAGAGCACUAGUGCACAGACUUUUGACUCCCCCC